GAUUCAAAGGCAGUGGGCAAGGAGGAGGCCGCAUGGAGCAGUCAGAAAGAACCAGCCCUUUGUGCUGCAGCAGGGUCCUUGGGGCAUCUACUGAAGACCUUCUGAGACAUCCAGCUUUGUGGACUGAGCAACUUCUGGAUUCUUGAACUUUCCAUGCAUAGGCAGCCAUUGCUAGACUAGCUGGACCAUAGCCUAUACUUUUGAGAGUGUUGUCAUCUAUCCAGAUGAACUGGGUGAUGCUCUUCUGCGCUGGACACUCAGCAUACGCUUCAAGCUCACUUGGUCUAACCUGGGACUUGGACCAACAUUCAACCUGGGGUGAAGCCUCACAACUGGUGGGCUGAGCUCCUGUUACUGCCCCGCUCACUGCCCCCUGUAGUAUGGCAAAUAAACUUGUUUUCUUUCUA
rnacentral:lncRNA from 1 species